CCAGGGGGAUUCUGUUUGCUUGUUGGUGUGAACCUAAAAUGCCUGCUUUCUUAAUUAAGCCUUAACUCUGGGUUUUGCCUCAAGCUUUUUGUCCCUCCCUUCCCCCUUUUAAUAGGUCUCAGUCUUCCUUCAUCACUGUGGCCCCAGGCUUUGCCUGUUUGCAUUCUCUCUUCUAAGAAGCAUCUGUUCCCGUCCCAGCACCCAGCAGACCUUGCUUGUGGCGCUUCAACCCCCAGCUGCUUUUAAUUUCAUAAUUACCACUACGAGAGCAACGUGCUCCUUGUGGUUCCCAGCCAAGAGUGUGGCCUUCCCUCCCUAGAGGAUCGGGCUCCUGCUGCCUGCCCCCACACACUCUCACUGGGCAGCUUUCUGGCCAGCAGGCAAUGUGUUGGGGUGCUCCCCACCUGGCAGUCAACUAGCCCCCACCCCACCCCUAUGAUCGCCUUGUGCUUUUGGCCUUACAGCUCCAGCAACUGGCAAAGCCUGCAAAUAAAUAGCAGACACACUUCCUGAACGAAUGAAUGCACAGUGCAUGAAGGAAUGAAGGAAGGAGUAGGCAUCUGGUCUGCAGGUGUGUUGAAGUCAUUCACGUGUCUGCAGGAACAGAUGAAUGGUUCACCUUGAGAGGUCUAUAUAUGUUCCAGAUGCCACCAGGAUGCUGGCCAGGCUUCCCUGGAUUGAAGACCCCACCAAUGUGUCCUGGAGCUCAGCUUCCCCAGAGACACACCUUACUAGGGAA